AGUGAACGCUGGCGGUAGGCCUAACACAUGCAAGUCGAACGGCAGCACAGUAAGAGCUUGCUCUUACGGGUGGCGAGUGGCGGACGGGUGAGGAAUACAUCGGCAUCUACUUUUUCGUGGGGGAUAACGUAGGGCCACUUACACUAAUACCGCAUACGACCUACGGGUGAAAGCAGGAGAUCUUCGCACCUUGCGCGAUUCAAUGAGCCGAUGUCGGAUUAGCUAGUUGGCGGGGUAAAGGCCCACCAAGGCGACGAUCCGUAGCUGGUCUGAGAGGAUGAUCAGCCACACUGGAACUGAGACACGGUCCAGACUCCUACGGGAGGCAGCAGUGGGGAAUAUUGGACAAUGGGCGCAAGCCUGAUCCAGCCAUACCGCGUGGGUGAAGAAGGCCUUCGGGUUGUAAAGCUCUUUUGUUGGGAAAGAAAAGCAGCAGGUUAAUACCCCGCUGUUCUGACGGUACCCAAAGAAUAAGCACCGGCUAACUUCGUG
rnacentral:rRNA from 1 species